GUUUCUCUCUCUUCUU
rnacentral:sRNA from 1 species